GUUUAAAAAUGGUUGUCAUCUUUGAUUCUGCUCUCUUGAAGGUGGGAAGGAGGAGUUUGUUUAUUGAGAGAAGUAAUAAAAUCAAAACUGGAUAUUCUGCAGUCCUCUCUCAUUGAGUGACCUGGCACUCAUGAACAAUCCUAUAGAACACUGAGCACCAGUGAGGGAAACAAGCCACAGUACAGAAACAUUUUAGAGUCUGGAGGAGAGGAGGAGGGAGAAGAGAAGAGGAGAGAAAACUCCCAUGGCUGUAAAAAAAAAAAAACACACCACAUUUAAGAAUAUUUUCAAUACAUUCCUGUACCUCUGGGUAAACAAGGAACACAUGCCAAAUGUAAACAAUGUGACAAAGGCAAUGCUCCUCAAAAGGCAAUGACUUUGAAAAUGAUGCGGGCAUGUCUGAACAAUCUGGAUCAGCUGAACAAACAUUUAAUUGACAUGGUUGAAUCAUUAUGACCUGGCUACGCACCACCUAGCAGAGCAGAUAUUCCUGGAUACAGUGUUCGAGAAGGAAAUUGAACAGUAUGCAAAAAGCAUUGAUGGGAAAUUAGUUCAUCUGAGUCUCUGAUCACUGAAGCAAUGUAGACAAUGAUCUAGUAACUAAUGCUUGCGUGACAGAAGAUGGGACUGUCUGUUUUACAAAAAUAACUGAUACAUCAGGAAAUGCACAUAUAGCAGAAUACUAAAAGAAGUAGCGGGAAAAGCUCUGUGAACAAACAUUCAAGUGUCAUGUGCAUAGCUUUGUCACAGGGAUAACUGCAAAUGUAGCAAAGAUGAGAAGAAAUCUAGAAGAAGGUAAUGAAGGGAACCUGAAACUUAUAACACAUGGGUGCAAUGGCCAUUUGGUGUUUCUUUCAGCUAACGACUUAACUCCAGUAAUAAAGCAAACUUGCUGAAAUUGCUAACACUUCUAUAACCACCAUUUCUUUUCAGCUUCACUGAAGAGAGCAGGAGGAUACAAACUAAUUCUUCCCAAGAUGUACAGUGGAAUUCAGUGGUUGAGUGUUUUGAACAAUUUAUUAAAAAUUGGCCUAUUCUGAGGUGGAGGGAGGUGGUGGAAUCUCCUUCCUUAGAAAUUUUUAAGGUCAGGCUUGACAAAGCCCUGGCUGGGAUGAUUUAAUUGGGGAUUGGUCCUGCUUUGAGCAGGGGGUUGGACUAGAUGACCUCCUAAGGUCCCUUCCAACCCUGAUAUUCUAUGAUUCUAUUAUGACAAUUUGUGGAGAAAAUCAUGACAAAAUAGAUGGAACUAUCACUGCCAAAGUAGUCAAUACCGGACUAAAGAAAAAUGUAGAAGAUAUACUGAAACUUAUUUCCAUAGCUUUGGACCAACUGCAGAAAGAUUGCUGUGGUUUUGCUGGGGCCGUUGAAAUUCUGAAAGAACUUCAAGACACACUGAAGAAAGAGAUACCCAACAACAAAGUUAAAUUGCAGGCAUUAAAAAAGCAGAUGGAUCAAGUACUUGCUUCACCUCAUUUUCUUACCAAUAGGCUCAACCCAAUGCACCAAGGUAAUCUGCCAACCUGCUGAAGAAGCAGCAGCAGCUGCUGCUGCGACAUGGGCAUCUAAUCAUCACUCAUCAAUCAUGCCAACCAGAAUGUCAACACUGGAGGGAGGUGACCAUUCAAGCAGUACAUGUUUGCUGAUGUUUUUUAAAAAAGUCCCAUCACUGAACUGGUAGAAGUUACUAGCUAAGCACCCGGAACCAGAGUCUGUUGAAGUGCUAAACCAGCUUUCAACAGCAAUAGCCUCUCCUGCAGGCACAAAAAGAAUAUUAUCUUCUUUUGGACCAAUACAGUCAAAGUUGAGAUAUCAACUGGGAGUUGAAAAGCAGGAAAACUUGUCUCUCUCUUCCAGUCUAUGAAUAAAAACGGAGUGUGGGAGAUGAGAUCUACUAGUUUUAAAAGUCUGAAGGACAGCCUAAGUAAUUUAGGAGACUGUCAUCUCAUUUUCUAGAGACUUAGGUGAGUAGGAACUUGCGCUCCAGCCACCUUCAUUUAGGCAAAUUUGAAAAUGUUUCCAGGCUGACCUGAAAUAAUCAGUUUAAUUCACUGACUACAAUUAAUCCCUAUGUUCCUUUAAUACAUCAUUUAGCUGUAAAUGUGAAACAUGUUUUGAUAAGAGAAAUCUAUGUAUCCAAAACAUUUAAAAUUGUUUUGUUUCAUAAAAAUAAGUUUUAUAUGCUGUUAUGUUUAAUUACAUUCCAGUUACCACCCUAAUGCAACUUGAUACAAAUCAUGAGCAAAGAGUUAAUUACAUAAGUAGGCAAUAUAUCAUUCACCAUUUUCUAACAUACUAAAAACGUUCAUUCAAUAAGAAUCUGAAAAUAUGAAGCUAAACAACUGCUCAAAUAAAUAUGGCUAUAGUGUACCCUAAGCAGCAAAAAAGAUGUACCAAAUCUCAUGCAAAGGCUCCAUUUAGUUGUGAAUCAACAUGUUUUAAUGGUUAUAUCUACCAAUAAGAAUGCACCUUUCUUUAGAAAAUAACUGAAAUACAUAUGGAAAAGCUGGUUUAAAUCAAGGCUUUCCACUUGAUUUAAAUCACUUUAAAUUGUCUUGAUUUCAAUCAGUCCACCCUGCUCAGGGCUGUGAAAAAUUCAGACCCCUGAGUGCCAUAGUGAAGCUGACCUAACCCCCAGUGUAGACACAGCAGGCCAAUGGAAAAAUUCUUCCGUCAACCCAGCUACCACUAUUCAGGGAGGCGGAUUACCUACAUCAGUGGGAAAAAAAAUCUUCUGUCAACAUAGGAAGCGUCUACACGACAGCACUCCAACUGUGAUGCCCAUAGUGUAGAGAAGCCCUUGGACUGUAAACCACAUUCUGCCAUCACAAUUACAAUGACUUCAAUGGAUGUACUCUGGAUUUACACCAUUGCAACAUAGCAGAAAUUGGCCACAAUAUAAGUUAAAGUUUCACAUUUUGCUUAAACUGGUCAAGCAGACAGCUAUGCACAGUACAAGAUUAAAGAUCAAGCAAAAUGUGGUUCAUAAAACUUCAGAGAAAAUAGCCAACAGCCAUUUCCUCCAUAUACAGAAAAAAGUGGAUGGGAUAAAAUAUCAAAUCACUCAGAUAUGUUCUUACCAUAUUUCAGUUUUAGAGUUUUUAAAAUUUGCAACCAAACAGUUAAUCACUUGUUCCACUACGUAUGACUAUAAUCACUGUGGCCCAAACAAAAUUCCAUAAAAUUUAGAUCUAGUAUAAAGAAUCUAAAAUAAAUAUAACAGAAAGGAGAAUCUUAAUCUGGUCUCUAGAGCUCCUCCCUCAAAUAACUCUACCUCUAGAAACAACAUCUUAGUCUUGAGAAAUGCAACUAAAAUGUUUUAGAUGAAACCAAUUUUUCCUCACAGUAAAAUUGUACACAUAGAUUCCCUUCUACACAGUGCCAUGGAGCAUAUUUGGGAAUACACUCAGCUGUAAAAUCUGAAUUUUACAACUAAGCCAUAUGGUUGCCUAAUGGAGUAAGAAAAGGAUUUUUCCCAUUAAACUGGGUAAAAUGUUUAUAACCUGGAUGGCUCAAAAAUGGAGAUGAACAAAACAAAAAUAUUUUGCUUUUCUUAAAAUAACCACAGUCUGACUCUUAAGAGCACUAAUAAAUGUUGCCAUGUAUCCCCCCUGUGCAGAUUUGAAGUAAACUGAGAUUUCAGUAGAAUAAAGCAAAAACCCUGAAAUGCUCACUUAGGAUGAACUUUUUUAAAAUAAAGUUCUAGGAAAGAUCAAAGCUCCCUCAAUAUGGGAAACACUCCACUGGAUUUUAAUGUAAGCUGUUACCGCUUCACCAGGCUAGUGAUCUCUUCAGCUGAUCUGCUAGAAGACUGAUUUAAGAAACUGAAAGAGAAAGGAACCAGCUAUCAAAUCUACCUUCAAAACACUCUGCAACAAGUGCUUCUUGUAGCCUUAACAGCAGCGGUGGGACAAAGAGCACACAAGAUGGGAACAACUCCACCCACAGGAACCACAUGCAAGCAGCUCAAAUACCCUGCCCUAAGGAGUUUACAGUAUAAAGCUUAUGCUCAAAUAAAUUGGUUAGUCUCUAAGGUGCCACAAGUACUCCUUUUCUUUUUGCAAAUACAGACUAACAGGGCUGCUACUCUGAAACCUAGCAUAAAGAGAGAGUAUUAAGAACAACAAAAAUGCGUGCACACUCACAGCAGGAGAGAUAGGAAGUGAUGAAAAAAAGUUAUUGAACCAUGAGGUUUAUCACUCAUAGCAAUUCCACAAUUCUUAUUUAGACCUUUUUGGGAAUUAAUGAUUUCAGGGUUUUUUCAUGCAUGAGGCAGACUCUUUAAGAACAGAGAAGAUUACUUCACUCAGCAUAACCAUAACUUGGGUCUUAUCUUUAGUCACAGUGUGUAUUCUUCACAGCAUUGAUGAGUAACAGAAAAUAAAGAGCUUGGGAGAACAUAUUCCUGGAGUAGAGUGGAGUGGAAGAGCCUUCAAGGAGGACUGAAAGUUCUAGCUAGUUGUUGACAUUAAAUGUGGGUGGAGAGGACUUUCA